AUUGAACGCUGGCGGCAGGCCUAACACAUGCAAGUCGAGCGGGGUUUUCGGACCUAGCGGCGGACGGGUGAGUAAUGCGUAGGAAGCUACCCGAUAGCGGGGGAUACCAGUUGGAAACGACUGUUAAUACCGCAUAAUGUCUACGGACCAAAGUGUGGGACCUUCGGGCCACAUGCUCUCGGAUGCGCCUACGUGGGAUUAGCUAGUUGGUGAGGUAAUGGCUCACCAAGGCGACGAUCCCUGGCUGGUUUGAGAGGAUGAUCAGCCACACUGGAACUGAGACACGGUCCAGACUCCUACGGGAGGCAGCAGUGGGGAAUAUUGGACAAUGGGCGCAAGCCUGAUCCAGCCAUGCCGCGUGUGUGAAGAAGGCCUUCGGGUUGUAAAGCACUUUCAGUUGGGAGGAAGGGUUGUGUGUUAAUAGUACACAGCCUUGACGUUACCAACAGAAGAAGCACCGGCUAACUCUGUGCCAGCAGCCGCCGUAACAC
rnacentral:rRNA from 1 species